rnacentral:lncRNA from 1 species
CUUGCACCAAACACUUGCUAACCUCUCCAGUCUCCAAUGAGAAGGCACGGCGGCAGCGAGGCCUCCCCUUCCAUCAUCCACACGUCUUCCAUAGCUCUCCUCCAAGAGAGGUUCAGAAACCUGCAGAAGGUGAAGGAGAUGAGAGAAGGAAGGGCGUUGCAGAGGGUGCACACUACUGAUACCGACCGCACCGGUUCGUCGUCGUCCCUGUCGUCGGCUCUCAGCCUUGGUCUCCAAGCCGCCAACAGCAACGAGCAGCCGAGGUGGUUCUUGCACCCGGACUUGAUCCGUCCGUCUAGGCCGCUGCGCGGACCUGCGUACUACCAUG